rnacentral:lncRNA from 1 species
AUAUGCACCACCUAAACCACCACCAUAACUGCCACCAAAACGACUGGAGUAGAGCGACGAUUCUCCAUGAUGACCUCCAAAUGCUCCAUCAUAACCACCAUAGCCGCUACUAUAGUCACCAGGAUAAGCACUACUGUAGCUGCCAGGAACAUAAGCACUACUGUAGCUGCCAGGAACAUAAGCACUACUGUAGCUGCCAGGAACAUAAGCACUACUGUAGCUGCCAGGCCUAGCGCCAAAACCAGGUGAUUUAUAGGGGGCAAAGCGACCACCAUUGUUGUAACGGCUGGCAAAUCCAUCAUAACCAUCUGCAUAAGGAGAUCUCCUAG